rnacentral:lncRNA from 10 species
GAGCAGCUACUGUGGGUUUAAUGGCCCUCCUAACCUCACAAGGGACCUGCCAACAAUUUUGAGCAAUUUUUUCAUCUCAUCUAGAUGGGAUUUCCAAGUCAUAAUUAUCUGAUAAUUACCAUCCGGAUGGCUGUUUUGUGCAUGGCAUUAGGUUUAAGCAUUUGGCAGGGAAGGAUGAAUGCAGUUUUACAGAUUUUGACAUUUCUUAAUACUCUGUGGCUUGCUCAGAAGGCAGCUAGUUACCUAAGUGCCCAAAAUAAGAAAUCUUUCUAAAAGUCAAAGUUUGGAAAAUGAGCACUUAUCUCCUCCCUGCUAUCCUUUCUCCCUACAGCCUUCUUUGUGGCUACUUUUAAACAUACAAAGCUGAUUGAGCUGUUCCUUGCUGGAACCCUCCCUGAGGACUCUCCCUAAGCCUCUAGCUGCAGC